rnacentral:misc_RNA from 1 species
UUUCCGUAGGUGAACCUGCGGAAGGAUCAUUAUUGUAUAACCGAGGUUCGAGGUCUGGCGCUGUCCCGGAAGCUCGUGCACUCACGAUUUACCUCACACACAUCCAUCUCACCGCUAUGUGCGCCACCGCGUGGUUCUCCUUGGUCUCGCUCGUAGCGGGGCUUACGUUAUUGCUUACUCUGUGUGUUUAGGCGAGUAUGUACUUUUUGUUUUUGCGAUUACCCACUGAUCACAACUUUCAACAACCGAUCACUUAGCUCGCGGAUCGGUGAAGAACAC